rnacentral:tRNA from 1 species
CAGAACGUAGUCUAAUUUAGUAGGACAUUUCCCUUACACUGAGAAAGAACCCGUGCAAAUCGAGUUGCUCUGA